CUGCAACGCAAGUUUCCGAUGACUGUAAUCAUCAACAAAUUUUAAGUUUAGUGGUAAUUUCAUGCAAGACUACGCAGAUUAAAUUACUUGAUGAAUUCGCUUCUUGAUUUCUUUAACUUGCAUGAGAGGAUUAGAUCACAGCAUGGACGCAGAAAGUGAGGAUCACACUGGAAAAAUAAUUUAUAAAUUAAUAAAUACUAUCCCGACAUAUAAUUUUAUACGAUGAUAUUUACUUCAUGAUUAUAUUGAGCACAAUGAUUGGAAGACUCAUUGGUGAUUCCAUUUGCUUCACUAAUACACAAUAUUAGUGAUAUUACAACACCACUUAAGAUGUAAAUGAAGUUAUGGUGAACUAACCAGCAACGCCAUCUUUAUUAGAAUUAUAA